CAGUAGCCGCGGUAAUACAGAGGUGCCAAGCGUUAGGCGGAAUCACUGGGCUUAAAGCGUGUGUAGGCGGAUGCCUAAGUACCUUGUGAAAUCCCACGGCUUAACCGUGGAACUGCUCGGUAUACUGGGUGUCUUGAGCUGUCUAGGGGCUACCGGAACAAAUGGUGGAGCGGUGAAAUGCGUAGAUAUCAUUUGGAGCGCCAAUGGUGAAAACAGGUAGCUGGGGACAUGCUGACGCUGAGACACGAAAGCUAGGGGAGCAAACGGGAUUAGAUACCCCCGUAGUCCCUGUCUCUUAUAA
rnacentral:rRNA from 1 species